GACGAACGCUGGCGGCGUGCUUAACACAUGCAAGUCGAGCGGCAGCACAGAGGAGCUUGCUCCUUGGGUGGCGAGUGGCGGACGGGUGAGGAAUACAUCGGAAUCUACUCUGUCGUGGGGGAUAACGGAGGGAAACUUACGCUAAUACCGCAUACGACCUACGGGUGAAAGCAGGGGAUCUUCGGACCUUGCGCGAUUGAAUGAGCCGAUGUCGGAUUAGCUAGUUGGCGGGGUAAAGGCCCACCAAGGCGACGAUCCGUAGCUGGUCUGAGAGGAUGAUCAGCCACACUGGAACUGAGACACGGUCCAGACUCCUACGGGAGGCAGCAGUGGGGAAUAUUGGACAAUGGGCGCAAGCCUGAUCCAGCCAUACCGCGUGGGUGAAGAAGGCCUUCGGGUUGUAAAGCCCUUUUGUUGGGAAAGAAAUCCAUCUGGUUAAUACCCGGGUGGGAUGACGGUACCCAAAGAAUAAGCACCGGCUAACUUCGUGCCAGCCGCCGCCGUAACAC
rnacentral:rRNA from 1 species